rnacentral:rRNA from 1 species
UACGGGAGGCAGCAGUAGGGAAUCUUCCGCAAUGGACGAAAGUCUGACGGAGCAACGCCGCGUGAACGAUGAAGGCUUUCGGGUCGUAAAGUUCUGUUGUUAGGGAAGAACAAGUACCGGAGUAACUGCCGGUACCUUGACGGUACCUAACCAGAAAGCCACGGCUAACUACGUGCCAGCAGCCGCGGUAAUACGUAGGUGGCAAGCGUUGUCCGGAAUUAUUGGGCGUAAAGCGCGCGCAGGCGGUCCUUUAAGUCUGAUGUGAAAGCCCACGGCUCAACCGUGGAGGGUCAUUGGAAACUGGGGACUUGAGUGCAGAAGAGGAGAGUGGAAUUCCACGUGUAGCGGUGAAAUGCGUAGAGAUGUGGAGGAACACCAGUGGCGAAGGCGACUCUCUGGUCUGUAACUGACGCUGAGGCGCGAAAGCGUGGGAGCGAACAGGAUUAGAUACC